CCUUCUCUCCAACUCAAGACCUUGUGUGUGUGUUUUUUUUUUUUAAUACUUUGGUCAAAAUUUAAAUUUAGUUAUUCUCUUCCUCCUUCGUUGCUUGUUCUCUCCAUUUGCUUUCUCUUUUUUUAAUACUUUUGUUCAAACCUAGGCCAUGUUUGGCACACAGAAAGGAAAACAAGGGAAAGGAAUAUCUUAUUCCUUUCCGCGUUUGGCAAUAGAAAAAAUUGGGGAAAGGAAAAUUUAUUUUCCCCCAUUUUCCCUUCUUAAUCCCUCCACCUAACCCUUCUCUCUCAUCUUUAUUCCCUUCUUUGUUCCUUCUCUUUCCUAACACCUACUCUUCAUCUUCCUUCUUCUCCUCUCCCCUCAUUAGAACCCUUCCUCUGUCGGCCACCAUUUGAUCCCUCUUCACGUUCAUUCCUUCUCCCUUUUCAACCGUUUUUCUUACCAUAUUUUGUUUUUCCAUUUUUUUCGUCUCGUUAAUCACCAAUUUCUCCACUAGGUUUCAUUUGGCAGCCAAUGUACUAUCACUGUUUGCUUCUAAACCCAUUUGGUCGUCGAUCAAUCUCCUUGUUUAAACCUCUAUUCGACCAUGAACUUGGAAAGGGUACAUAUUCCUUGAAUUUUUUUUGUUUCUCUUUUGAUUCGUUCAUGGCUUAUCUAUUUAGUUUGCCACUCGGAUCUAUUACGCAUCCUUCGUCUAACACCUUGCCACUCGAAUCUAUUACGAUGAGUUGUGGCCUUGGCGGAUUCAAUUCGAACAUGGUAGGGUAUUGAGUGCACGCGAGUACGUAGCGAGAUAUAUCUUGAGGUACUAAGGUAUUCACGUCGUCACGCACAAAAGCAGGUUCCCACUUCAUAUUAGGUGGAAAAUAGACCCACAAGAAAUCAUCGAUGUGGUAUAUGCCUUCAUAAUCACCUAACGACAUAUGCUCUUGAUAUUAGAAGCACUGUUGAAUGACCACAAGCGGAUAACUCACGUACCAGCCAACGCAAGACAUAGGAUUAGGGACCUAGCCUACUUUCGCAUGAUACAUACGUCUGACCUUGUGUAUCGGUAAAGUACACAGAUGGACAGACGUUGUUUUGUAAUCUUUUGCCAUUUACUACGAACAAGAGUUGGCCUAGAGUCGAUGGAACUCGUUGACAUUAAGGAGAUGGUCGCCAUCUUCCUUCAUGUGUUGAUGCACGAUGUGAAAAACUGACAGAUUCAAAGGGAGUUUAUAAGGUCUGGUGAGACAGUUUCUCGACAUUCCAACAUUGUCUUGAUGGUUGUUCUUCAUCUGCAUGACGAGUUAUUGGCCACACCACAGCCUAUAACGAGUACAUGCAUAGAUUUGAGGUGGUGGUCUUUCGAGGUUAAGACUAAACAACUUACCGUUUCUUUUUAAAUUUUCUAUUGGAACUUGUCAAACCUAAAAAACUUUGUUCGAUAUUCGUUGUAGAAUUUUCUAAGGGCAUUAGACGACAGGUACAUCAAAGUUAACGUGUCUGCAGCUGAUUCAUUAAGAUAUCGAACAUGAAAGGACGAAGCGACAAUGAAUGUCCUCGGCGUAUACGAUACGAAGGAGGACUUCAUUUUCGUCUUAGCCGGCUAGGAAGGAUCUACAGUAGACUCACGUGUCCUACGACAUGUAAUUUCCAGACCUAACGAUCUGAAGGUUCCAAAGGAUGAGAUCGGUUUUACUACCUGUGCGACACGGGAUACCCAAUGCAGAAAGUUUUCUAACACCGUAUAGGGGGUAACAUUAUCAUCUACAGAAGUGGCAUGGUGUUGGGAAUGCUCCAACAACACUGAAGGAGUUCUUCAACAUGAAACAUUCUUCUGCAUAGAAUGUGAUUGAAAGAGCGCUAAGCCUGUUGAAGGGACGUUGGGCAAUACUAUGUGAAAAAUCCCACUACUCGGUUCAAGUCCAAUGUCGGACUAUUAUGACUUGUUGUUUCCUCCAUAAUUUAAUAAAUCGUAAGAUGACGAACUCCGACAUAUUGGAUGACGAAGAUAUGGGUGACUAAACACACGCAACUACUAGUGGUGACGACAUCACAAACAUUGAGGCCUCAAACAAAUGGACUCAAUGGCGGGAUGCACUUGCUUCAUCGAUGUUCAACGAAUGGCAGUUGUAUAACGGGAACCCAAAGCAGUCCUAGCACAGGUAGAGGAGGCAUGCCUAGUAGACUACCUCGUGGACUUGGUGAACACGGGGGGUGGAGGUCGGACAAAGGGACCUACCGCCCGAGUUAUUUAGCACAACUGAUUAGGAUGUUAAGAGAAAGAAUGCUCGAUUGCGGUUUGACAACCACCGUCAUCGAAAGUCGAAUAUAACUGUUGAAAAAGAUGUUUCAGGCCAUUACCAAGAUAAGGGGCCUAGCAGGCAGUGGCUUCGGCUGGAAUGAUGACGUCAAGUGCAUCAUCGCCGAGAGAGACGUGUUAGACAAUUGGAUCCGGACACAUCCUGUAGCAAAAGGACUCCUGAACAAGCCCUUCCUACAUUACGACAAGUUAUCAUACGUGUUUGAGAAAAGACCCUGCAACGAGGGCCCGUGUGGAGACGUUCACAGACAUCGGGUCUAAUGUGCCAGGACUGCUCCCCGUGGAGGAUGGCCUGGAGACGGAGUUCCUGGCUAUGUGCAACCCGAGGAUGAACAUGGUACCGAAUGACAUCAUGGUCGAUCGAUCUGGUCAGUCGAGCGACGCUAGGCCAGGCUCUAGCAAUCAGGAAAGGAAGGGUGACAUGCAGCCAUUUGAGAGUGACGACCUGAUUCGGGAUUGCAUGGGCACUGCGAAUGAUUAGCUUAAGACCAUUGCAGAAUGGCCUAAUAAAGCUAUCAACUGGAAAGACGCAAUGGUAUUGGAGGUUAUUACGUAUAUGGAGACUCUCCCGGGCCUUAGUAUUGAGGACAUCAGUAAAUGAGUGAUGAUAGUAACGGAAAAGGUGUCGCUAACGAGAAGCUUCAUCAGGAUGCCCUAUUCGAUGAAGGUCGCUUACUGUAAGGUCCUCCUCUGUGCAAGACGUUUAUUCUUUUUCUCUUUGUCGGAAUAAUGUAUUUGUUUUACUUAUUUGCUUGACCAUUUUCUAUGUUGUAAUGGACGUUAACUAUUUAUGACAGUUUCUUUCUCGAUGUUACAUGAAACGUAAAAAAUUAAUUUAUGCA